rnacentral:siRNA from 1 species
ACACCAAAAGUCUAAGAAGGGA